UCGGGAAUUUUGGGCAAUGGGCGAAAGCCUGACCCAGCAACGCCGCGUGAGGGAUGAAGUAUUUCGGUAUGUAAACCUCGAAAGAAUGGGAAGAAUAAAUGACGGUACCAUUUAUAAGCUCCGGCUAACUACGCGCCAGCAGCCGCGGUAAUACGUAGGGAGCAAGCGUUGUUCGGAUUUACUGGGCGUAAAGGGCGCGUAGGCGGCGCGGUAAGUCACUUGUGAAAUCUCUGAGCUUAACUCAGAACGGCCAAGUGAUACUGCUGUGCUAGAGUGCGGAAGAGGCAACCGGAAUUCUUGGUGUAGCGGUGAAAUGCGUAGAUAUCAAGAGGAACACCUGAGCCGAAGGCGGGUUGCUGGGCCGACACUGACGCUGAUGCGCGAAAGCCAGGGGA
rnacentral:rRNA from 1 species